UACUUGCAACUAAAAACUUUUAAUUAAUGCCAUAUUAUUCAAGCAAAUUGAUUAUUGUUAUGGAGACCUGUUUCUGAAGCCAUGCUUACGAAUAGAUGCAAAUCAAAUAAACGCGGUCUAACCCAAAUGAGCUGGGGCAUAUUUGAUGGGUGCGGGUAAAUGAUGGAUCUGCUGUAUGAAACUUUCAUAAUUCAGAUCAUUUGGAGAACUAUAUUCAUAGAGACAUCUACAUUAAAUACAAGUCAUUUGAAUAUGGUCAAUGAAAUGAACAUAUACCAUAGCCAGGUACAAUUUGAAGUUGUCCAAAUUGUCUUCUCAAGCAUCUAAAUAUUUCUCCAAGGUACUAGUCAAGGUAGUCUUGGGCACUGCUCCGAUGACACUUUCUUUCUUCUCACCUUUCUUGAAAAACAGCACAGUUGGAAUGCUCCUUAUUCCAUACCUGUUGGCAAUAUUUGGAGACUCGUCGGUAUUUACCUUGAAACACGCAAUCUUUCCGGCAUAUUCUUUUGCCAAUUCAUCGAUAACCGGCGCUAUCAUCCGACAGGGUCCACACCAGGGUGCCCAAAACUCCACCAGAACAGGGGUUUCUCUGGCAAUCACAAGAUUGUCCCAGCUUGAAUCUGUCACUACUUGGACUUCAUCUAAAGCUUCACGAGCUUUGCAGAAGAUGCGAGACUUUUGGCUUCUGCCUCUCAGAGUGAGUGAAUGGGCAAAGAAAGAAGAUGAUGAAGACAAUGAUAAAUUGGAUAGAUUCAGUCCUUUACAAGAAGUUGGCAAAUGAAGCUUCUCUACAGGAGCAAAAACUACUCCAGCUCUAGCACUAGUGCACACAGUAGUACUCACUUGAAAACAAUUCUUCAUAGCCAUAUCUUCUUCUUACUCUUGAUGGAGUACUAGGAAAGGAUAAUAUUUGAUGAGAAAGAAGAUGUGGCCUUGCCCUCUUGGAUAAGAGGAGUUUGCAAGAUUUUUAUUUUCUUUUUAUCUAUUUAUUUUUCCCUUCUCUUUAA
rnacentral:misc_RNA from 1 species